GAAAUCUAUUCCCUUCUGCCAAUACUAAUUUUGCCAAAAAGAAAAAAAUGCGACUAAACCUAUUCCAUUUCAACAGUUUCCGGCCUGCGAAAUCGCUCAAGUUAACAGUCUCUGGUUAACAAAAUUGUUGCGGCCUGUGACAUUCUCCACCUUGCCACAGCUCCGACGAUCAUCUUCCCAAAUCCCAGGUUUCAAGAUUGCUGCAUAAAUCAUUAUUCUCCUUCACUUUCUUGUCUUUAUCGGAGAAAAAUUCUGCUUACCAGGUCCCCGACGCCAACUGUGGACAUGAACGAGUACCACAAAUAUCAAGGAUACCUAGUGUUACUGAAAAUGCUCAACCUUCUCACGAUACUGCUCAUCUUUGAGUUUUCCUCCUUCGAUUUUUAUUAAUUUGUUAUAGUAUUUGGGCUUACUUGAAUGCUUCUUGCUUUUAUAUAUUUUCUUUUCUCACUGUUGGUUUCUGUCUCAACACUAUAUAUCUUUUACCAUUAGAAAUUG